GCUGUCCUGCAGGGAUAAUGAGGAAUUUACCAAAGCAGAGCAACAGAUGCCUUGAGAGAUAGCAGACAGAAGAACCAGUGCCCAGUUAAACCAAGGUUCAGAAUGCCAGGCUGCCUGUGAGAGAAGGCUCAUCAGUGACAGUUUUCAUAGAGUUUGCUGAAAUAAGGUGGGUUUAAAAGGCUUUCCCCUAUUGCUGUCCCUUGCUG
rnacentral:lncRNA from 1 species